rnacentral:lncRNA from 1 species
AUCCGUAAAUCCUACUGAUUUCUUUCUAUUUAUUAAUGAUUUAAAUUUGUCUAAGUUUGUCAUCUGAGAAACUUGAGAAGCUUGGGUGGACCUGCCUUGAGGCCUGUAGAGAAGACCCUGGGGCUGGGGGACAGCGUCGAAUCCUACAGAGCAUCUGGCAUCCUGAACUGAGCAUCCAACUGGGACAAGCUUGGUUGUUGAUCCUUGCCAAACUAGAAUUAUAUUGACCAUUUUUCAACACCCAUAUCAACUGCUGGUGUACAGAUUCAGAAUGGUACGAGAGUCAGACAUCCUCAGCUAGAUGAGUACGUCUUUCCAUGUCUCAGUUUGUUGGCGUCCGUCAAUGAAACUAAAGAAGUAUAGCAUGUCGAGAGUGGGAGACACAGAACUGUUCAUAUGAAAAUCAAUUCCAUUCAUUGACUGACCAUCAUGUUGAACUGAAAACAGGGGCCUGCUGGAACGACUGGAUCGCCGCAAC